rnacentral:rRNA from 1 species
GUGCCAGCAGCCGCGGUAAUACAGAGGGUGCGAGCGUUAAUCGGAUUUACUGGGCGUAAAGCGUGCGUAGGCGGCUUCUUAAGUCGGAUGUGAAAUCCCUGAGCUUAACUUAGGAAUUGCAUUCGAUACUGGGAAGCUAGAGUAUGGGAGAGGAUGGUAGAAUUCCAGGUGUAGCGGUGAAAUGCGUAGAGAUCUGGAGGAAUACCGAUGGCGAAGGCAGCCAUCUGGCCUAAUACUGACGCUGAGGUACGAAAGCAUGGGGAGCAAACAGGAUUAGAUACCCUGGUAGUCCAUGCCGUAAACGAUGUCUACUAGCCGUUGGGGCCUUUGAGGCUUUAGUGGCGCAGCUAACGCGAUAAGUAGACCGCCUGGGGAGUACGGUCGCAAGACUAAAACUCAAAUGAAUUGACGGGGGCCCGCACAAGCGGUGGAGCAUGUGGUUUAAUUCGAUGCAACGCGAAGAACCUUACCUGGUCUUGACAUAGUAAGAACUUUCCAGAGAUGGAUUGGUGCCUUCGGGAACUUACAUACAGGUGCUGCAUGGCUGUCGUCAGCUCGUGUCGUGAGAUGUUGGGUUAAGUCCCGCAACGAGCGCAACCCUUUUCCUUAUUUGCCAGCGGGUUAAGCCGGGAACUUUAAGGAUACUGCCAGUGACAAACUGGAGGAAGGCGGGGACGACGUCAAGUCAUCAUGGCCCUUACGACCAGGGCUACACACGUGCUACAAUGGU